GAUGUACUCCCUCCGUCCCAAAAUUCUUGUCUUAGAUUUGUCUAAAUACGGAUGUAUCAAGUCACACUUUAGUAUUAGAUACAUCCGUAUCUAGACGAAUCUAAGACAAGAAUUUUGGGACGGGGGGAGUAUAAU
rnacentral:pre_miRNA from 1 species